GCUUCAGGUUAGGACGAUAUACACAUCAUGAACACGCAAUGAGGGCAUCAGAGAACCAUGUCUCCCUGGGGAUCAUGUCUAUUGCCACACACACACACACACACACACACGUUGGUCUACCUUUACAGGAUUGGCCGGCGGUGCAGAUCACCUCAUGUUGUACUGUACUGUAAAGGGGCGUGAACUGCAGAGGAAAAGUAUAAAUAAAGGACACAGCAUAUCUGCAUUAUUUAUAAACUGCAUAAAACCAUUCUGCUCUUAACCUUAAAGAAAUCAUCACCAUGAUCUUACUGGAGGGGAGUGAAGAGGACGACAACGACGAUGACGACAAUGAUGAUGAUGAUGGAGGUGCUGGAGUAGGCGUCUGCUGCCAAGGGUAGACAAACACUCCACACCCAGAUGCAGCCAGUGUUGAGAAAGGACACAAUAGACACGCUGGAUCCGUGAACUGUGUUGAUUUGUUGAUACAAACCAGUAGCCAAACACACAGUUCCUGUCGUGACUAAGGCAAUGCCGUCGCGACCCAAAAAAACCUCCCCGCGCCAUACGUAUCAAUGGCGAAACCUGACUGUAGACCUUAAUGGAACAUUCCUCCAUGGAAACGAUGGAUCUCGCAACUUCUCUGCUGUACAGUGGCAGUAACAUCGGUUUUCUUCAGAAUGGCUCUGCUUUUGAGUCUGUUUGUGCAACCCUGAAGAGACCAUGGAGAGAAAACCAUGCUGUUAUCGAUACCUUGAUUUCGUCUUGAUUGCUGCAAUGCCCUUUUCAUUAGACUACCAUCCAGAUCUUCUAAGUUGAAUUGAAAAAUGCACAUACAUUUCAGAAUUUCUUACCAUUUGGAGUUUGGAGCAUCUUGUGUGAACUCCUUGAGGCCACGUCCAUACGAAUCAGUUUGCUGUUUCGUAAUGUCAUUGUUUUCCAAAGUAUGUGUUUUCGACUCAAUGUGGAUGAGAACCGUAACCGUAUAUCAAAAUUAAUGCAUUCCAAAUUAAAGCGUAUUAAUGUGGACGUGGCCCCAGAAAUAGUGCAGAAUCGUAAAUAUUUCUUCUUCACGUCAUUACUUUUCUUUUCUUUUUCUUAAAACCCUAAAACUUCCUGUUUAUUUAGCAAGGUAGUUAUGGUAUGUUUUUUUAUUGAUCCAGGGAUAAUAUCCUUUCUGUUUCUCCUUUCACAAUUUAUCUUAAUUUUCUUCUUAAUAAGAAAUACAUGUAGGGUGGUGAUAACCUGAAGGGAGCUGCUGGUCCAAAGGUGGGAAGAUUGUGAUUUCAUAAUCUUCCAAAAUCACCAUUGUGCUCUUGAGCAAGGCACACACCUCCAAGUUAUUUCAGCAGGAUUGACUGCUCCUGCAAAAGGUCUACUGAAGUCAAUUUAGAAGCGUCCAUUAAAUGACAAACAAACAGAUAUGGGCUGGAAGGGCAUUUCUACUUGAAUUUAUUUAAUGGAUGCCGUUUGCUCGAAUAUAUGUAGGGAGGUCAAUGCCCCUAUUCCAGCCCAGGUGUAUUUGUUGUAAAGAUAUUUUAAGACUAUGGUUGCCUGGUCCAUGAAACUCUCCAGUAUAACUAGCAGAAGGUUGCUGGAGCAGCAGAGAUCAGGGUUAGAGGUCAAAGACCACUGUUUUUCCUUUUAUCUUGAGACCUUUGAUGCCACAAUAACGGCACUCAGCCAUAGAGAGCAUGCUUAGAGCGAGAUGACAUGCUCACCGGGACAGGAUCUACAUGUACAACUCUGUUUCAAAACCUAGUGAGCUGUCGCAUUUUAAGGCGCCAAACUAUUAGAAUCAAUUACAAGUUGAGUCUCCUAUGCUAGGUUUUGAAACAGAUGCCAUUUCUGCAGGUUGUGCAUACAUAGUGGAAUCCGCCGGUUCUGAUAUCCUGCAAACACACACUUACACCAACAUCACACACUGCUGAAUGACCAUACAUGGUUGUUAUUGCAGUGCUGUUGAACACAAGUUACAGAUGUAAUUUGCAUGUAAUCAGAUGAACUGACACUCAUACUGAA